GCAGGCUCAGACGUAGUUAGGCCUUGAGGUGCAGCAGAGGAAUCUGAAGCGUCCGCUGAAGUAAUUUGGAUUUCCGGGUCUAGUGUCCCACCUGUUGGCCUUUCGGGCCCCAUUGUUCUUCGUACCCGAGGCGCACGUGUCCUGCAGUGCUAUUGUUUUCUCUGAAAAAAAUAAAAAAAUGAAAAUAUCAAGGGAAACUGCGUUGUGACUCAGUGGAUGAAGCUUCAGAGGAGAUGGAUCCAUUAUUCAGAGCCUUUCAAAUGAGGACCCAAGUUUACCUAUGUCAGCCUCGGAUUGCGGCAUGAAUUCUUGGAGUUCGGCAACGAGAGCGCUUAUCUCAGCAGAAUCCUUGCGUAUACUGCAGAGCUCCUCCUCGUUGAAAUUCGGGGUAAUCGGCUUGCAGAGGAGAAUCGAUGAUAUAACGUUACCAAUGUUUGAUGGUCCAGAUUUACUCGCUGCAAUAAUAACUGGGUGAUAAGCGCCAGUUGAUUCUUAUAGUUUCACGGGGAUUAGAGAUAAUAUUUGAGGUGACAAGGGCGCAGAGAGGAAUCGGACGCAUGUGCGAAACGUGGGCCUCACUCCUCCAGUUAAUACUCACCAUAAUAUCCAGACAUAUCCAUGGGCACGAUGCGAAUGAGAUUUUUGCACUUGUACAGCUCCCUCAGGAACAACUGUGAUACAAAGAACAGCAGCACCAAAUUGGGACUGUCCGCCGGAAUUCCCAAGUCCAUUGCACUGUUGAGACAAUUAUCCAGAUAAGCAAGAGGGAUGCAGAGAGGAAGGAGGGGAAGCCUUGUCCUACAUUAAAAGUACACUCCUCGUUGCAUCAACUCUCGAGGUGUGCACAUAUUCUCGUUUCGCAUG